GGCACCCAGGCUAUCCACUCCAGUGGCGCAUUUUGACUGGCACCCAGCCCAAGCCAGGCAAGAGACUGGCCUAAAAUCGACAGAGGUAGGAGACGGCUCAUCUGACGCCAUGCUAACGUCAUGGCUACCGAGGAGGAGCCCAUGCGAGGCAGCCGAGGAGGAGGGUCGGGUUUUGGCGGGUUCAGCCUCCGGAGCUUCUUCUCGUACCAGAUCUUUGUCUCGGCUAUGUUCUCUCUUCUCUUCAUUGCCACGCUCUCUGUUAUCCUCACCACAAAUCCUUCAACUCCGCACCACGACUCUGUAUGUAUUGCCCCCUCUUCCCUAAAUCCAUUUUCUCCCAAUUAUUUAUUUAAUUAAUCAAGGUUUAGAUUGAAAUUUCGAAGCUUUAGCAAAACCCAGAUGUUAAUUUCACUGAUUAAUCACAACCCACG
rnacentral:lncRNA from 1 species